rnacentral:snoRNA from 1 species
GGCCGAUGACGAGGCAUCCGGGCCGAGUCGGUGUAGGCAGCCGGCAGCGACGAGCCCUAUGAGUGCCGAGGCC